rnacentral:tRNA from 1 species
GACUCUUUAUUUUAUUUUUAGAAUUUUUGAUUUCAAAUCAAAAGGAAUUCGAGUUG